rnacentral:lncRNA from 1 species
CGACGGCGACAACUUCGACGACGGCACGACAACGACGACUUCGACAACGGCGACCACAAUAAUUUCUAUAACAACAGGAGAUACGCAUGCGUACGCAUAGCGUAGGUGUGAUUUUUUUGUUGGUUUGAUCAACCCGACCAUCUUCGUGAUAGGUUUUGAACCGAUCAAAUCUAACAUCAAAUCAUCACUUUCGCCAUGCGUAUGUAUUGUUAAUCUCCAAGCCGUGCGGCCAUCUUCGCGAUAGGCUCGACAUGGUCAAAAUAAUUGAUCGAACCGGAGGUUUUAUUACGUA